AUUGAACGCUGGCGGCAGGCCUAACACAUGCAAGUCGAACGGUAACAGGAAGAAGCUUGCUUCUUUGCUGACGAGUGGCGGACGGGUGAGUAAUGUCUGGGAAACUGCCUGAUGGAGGGGGAUAACUACUGGAAACGGUAGCUAAUACCGCAUAAUGUCGCAAGACCAAAGAGGGGGACCUUCGGGCCUCUUGCCAUCGGAUGUGCCCAGAUGGGAUUAGCUAGUAGGUGGGGUAACGGCUCACCUAGGCGACGAUCCCUAGCUGGUCUGAGAGGAUGACCAGCCACACUGGAACUGAGACACGGUCCAGACUCCUACGGGAGGCAGCAGUGGGGAAUAUUGCACAAUGGGCGCAAGCCUGAUGCAGCUAUGCCGCGUGUAUGAAGAAGGCCUUCGGGUUGUAAAGUACUUUCAGCGGGGAGGAAGGGAGUAAAGUUAAUAACUUUGCUCAUUGACGUUACCCGCAGAAGAAGCACCGGCUAACUCCGUG
rnacentral:rRNA from 1 species